UGCGCUAAUAGAUGAGCCUAAGUCAGAUUAGCUAGUUGGUGGGGUAAAGGCCUACCAAGGCGACGAUCUGUAGCGGGUCUGAGAGGAUGAUCCGCCACACUGGGACUGAGACACGGCCCAGACUCCUACGGGAGGCAGCAGUGGGGAAUAUUGGACAAUGGGCGAAAGCCUGAUCCAGCCAUGCCGCGUGUGUGAAGAAGGCCUUUUGGUUGUAAAGCACUUUAAGCGAGGAGGAGGCUACUUAGAUUAAUACUCUAGGAUAGUGGACGUUACUCGCAGAAUAAGCACCGGCUAACUCUGUGCCAGCAGCCGCGGUAAUACAGAGGGUGCGAGCGUUAAUCGGAUUUACUGGGCGUAAAGCGUGCGUAGGUGGCUUCUUAAGUCGGAUGUGAAAUCCCUGAGCUUAACUUAGGAAUUGCAUUCGAUACUGGGAAGCUAGAGUAUGGGAGAGGAUGGUAGAAUUCCAGGUGUAGCGGUGAAAUGCGUAGAGAUCUGGAGGAAUACCGAUGGCGAAGGCAGCCAUCUGGCCUAAUACUGACGCUGAGGUACGAAAGCAUG
rnacentral:rRNA from 1 species